GGUAAGGUGGCCGAGUAGGUAACAGGUUGUAGCCCUGUGCACGGGGGUGCAGUCCCUCCUUUACCA
rnacentral:tRNA from 1 species